UACGUAGGCAGCAAGCGUUGUUCGGAAUUACUGGGCGUAAAGAGUGUGUAGGCGGUGCACUAAGUUUGUCGUGAAAUCUCCCGGCUUAACUGGGAGGGUGCGGCGAAUACUGGUGUGCUCGAGGGUGGGAGAGGUAAGCGGAAUUCCUGGUGUAGCGGUGAAAUGCGUAGAUAUCAGGAGGAACACCUGUGGUGUAGACAGCUUACUGGACCAUUUCUGACGCUGAGACACGAAAGCGUGGGUAGCAAACAGG
rnacentral:rRNA from 2 species